UCCUUUGUGAGAUGCCACUAUCGGGGGAAACCGGAUGGCUCCACAGAAAAAGUUCGUUUAAAGGAAAAUGGUUUAAGGCCAAGGAAAUACCUAGAAAACGGAAAGUCUUGAAACCAGAGCCGGAAAAACAAUGCCUGUGUUUUGAAGUUCCUUCUUGGGACGAAACCAGCUGAAGCUGGCGAAAUCCAAGAUGGCGCCUCUGACGAGCCUCUGGCUUUAUUAUCAUCCAGUUCUCAUGCUAAACAACACUCCCACCAGCGCCGUGACAAUUGACAGUCGCCAUGACAACGACUGGAAGAGACCAAGAAGGGACAGAAAAAAAGGGGUUCCUUGAUUCCGGGAAAAAUCUCCGUUCUUUCCCAAGAAAAGCAUGAAUAUUCCCCCCCGUGCUCUUAAUGCCCAGCCCCUUCAUUAAAGACACCCUACCUCUGUAA
rnacentral:antisense_RNA from 1 species